UAGGCUGAAGUCCGCUGGCUUGGAUUUCUAGUUGUUAAUUAGAUUUUUACGGGAUCGAGGCCCGUCAGCCUGG
rnacentral:tRNA from 1 species